UCCUUCAAGAUAGAGAUAAAGUGAAUGCAGCUGAUACAUAAUCUGCACAAAAUGGCAGAAUUAGUAAUGCCCCUACUAUGUUGUAGAUGCUAUUGUUAGAAGAUGGGAGGUGGAGGAGGAGGGGAGGAGAAUGGGAGCUUAAGGUUAGUUGAGGAGCUGAAAAUAAUGAGUACUGAGGUGGUCACUGAGGUAGAGAAGAGGUGUAAUAGAGAAACAGAAUAAUGUGUUUAAAGGAGCUUUCCGACAGUAUGUCUUAAAACUAACCACACAGGAGCCAGCUUAAUUAUCUUGCUUUUCUAGAUUGGGCUACAGAGACAUGGGGAGAGGAAUGGACUCCUGAAGCACUGGCCACAGAACUAGAAACCAAACUGCAACUUACCCGAGUUUGCUCUAGCACAUCCCCACCAGAAGUAAGAAGGAAACCUUCAGUGAAAGAAAGAGUUGGGGAAAGGGACUAGAAAAUCACAAUAGAAAAACGAAGUCUCUCUCACUCUGGAAGAUUUAUUGAGCUCUUAAAGGAAGAAUGGAUGAUUUAUGCAUGAUAAGGUGGUUUUCCAAAGAAUAUGGUUCAUUCAUUCAUGUCAACAGAAAUCUAAGAUAAAGUUACAGUGUUAAAUUAUGCAUACUUUAGAUAUACAUUGUGCGCUAUGAAAUGUGUGUUAAAGUAAAGGGACAAGUAUUUUUUGUUCCGUGGGAACGGAAGUUGCACAUCAAUGUUUUUCCCAAAGAUUUGGACAUGUUUUGUCUGAUAUAUCCACUGUAUCUUUAGCUUUUCAAAAUAAGUGGAAUUCUUGUAUCA